UUGUUCGAAAAUCACCAGCAAAGAUGAUUGGAACAAUACAAAGAAGAUUAACAUGGCCCCUAACAAAGAUGAUACGAACAAAUCGAGAAAUGAUCCAAAUUGUU
rnacentral:snRNA from 2 species